AUCCAUAGGUUAAUGAGGCGAACCGGGGGAACUGAAACAUCUAAGUACCCCGAGGAAAAGAAAUCAACCGAGAUUCCCCCAGUAGCGGCGAGCGAACGGGGAGGAGCCCAGAGCCUGAAUCAGUGUGUGUGUUAGUGGAAGCGUCUGGAAAGGCGCGCGAUACAGGGUGACAGCCCCGUACACAAAAAUGCACAUGCUGUGAGCUCGAUGAGUAGGGCGGGACACGUGGUAUCCUGUCUGAAUAUGGGGGGACCAUCCUCCAAGGCUAAAUACUCCUGACUGACCGAUAGUGAACCAGUACCGUGAGGGAAAGGCGAAAAGAACCCCGGCGAGGGGAGUGAAAAAGAACCUGAAACCGUGUACGUACAAGCAGUGGGAGCACAGAGCAAUCUGUGUGACUGCGUACCUUUUGUAUAAUGGGUCAGCGACUUAUAUUCUGUAGCAAGGUUAACCGAAUAGGGGAGCCGAAGGGAAACCGAGUCUUAACCGGGCGUUAAGUUGCAGGGUAUAGACCCGAAACCCGGUGAUCUAGCCAUGGGCAGGUUGAAGGUUGGGUAACACUAACUGGAGGACCGAACCGACUAAUGUUGAAAAAUUAGCGGAUGACUUGUGGCUGGGGGUGAAAGGCCAAUCAAACCGGGAGAUAGCUGGUUCUCCCCGAAAGCUAUUUAGGUAGCGCCUCGUGAAUUCAUCUCCGGGGGUAGAGCACUGUUUCGGCAAGGGGGUCAUCCCGACUUACCAACCCGAUGCAAACUGCGAAUACCGGAGAAUGUUAUCACGGGAGACACACGGCGGGUGCUAACGUCCGUCGUGAAGAGGGAAACAACCCAGACCGCCAGCUAAGGUCCCAAAGUCAUGGUUAAGUGGGAAACGAUGUGGGAAGGCCCAGACAGCCAGGAUGUUGGCUUAGAAGCAGCCAUCAUUUAAAGAAAGCGUAAUAGCUCACUGGUCGAGUCGGCCUGCGCGGAAGAUGUAACGGGGCUAAACCAUGCACCGAAGCUGCGGCAGCGACACUGUGUGUUGUUGGGUAGGGGAGCGUUCUGUAAGCCUGUGAAGGUGUGCUGUGAGGCAUGCUGGAGGUAUCAGAAGUGCGAAUGCUGACAUAAGUAACGAUAAAGCGGGUGAAAAGCCCGCUCGCCGGAAGACCAAGGGUUCCUGUCCAACGUUAAUCGGGGCAGGGUGAGUCGACCCCUAAGGCGAGGCCGAAAGGCGUAGUCGAUGGGAAACAGGUUAAUAUUCCUGUACUUGGUGUUACUGCGAAGGGGGGACGGAGAAGGCUAUGUUGGCCGGGCGACGGUUGUCCCGGUUUAAGCGUGUAGGCUGGUUUUCCAGGCAAAUCCGGAAAAUCAAGGCUGAGGCGUGAUGACGAGGCACUACGGUGCUGAAGCAACAAAUGCCCUGCUUCCAGGAAAAGCCUCUAAGCAUCAGGUAACAUCAAAUCGUACCCCAAACCGACACAGGUGGUCAGGUAGAGAAUACCAAGGCGCUUGAGAGAACUCGGGUGAAGGAACUAGGCAAAAUGGUGCCGUAACUUCGGGAGAAGGCACGCUGAUAUGUAGGUGAAGUCCCUCGCGGAUGGAGCUGAAAUCAGUCGAAGAUACCAGCUGGCUGCAACUGUUUAUUAAAAACACAGCACUGUGCAAACACGAAAGUGGACGUAUACGGUGUGACGCCUGCCCGGUGCCGGAAGGUUAAUUGAUGGGGUCAGCGCAAGCGAAGCUCUUGAUCGAAGCCCCGGUAAACGGCGGCCGUAACUAUAACGGUCCUAAGGUAGCGAAAUUCCUUGUCGGGUAAGUUCCGACCUGCACGAAUGGCGUAAUGAUGGCCAGGCUGUCUCCACCCGAGACUCAGUGAAAUUGAACUCGCUGUGAAGAUGCAGUGUACCCGCGGCAAGACGGAAAGACCCCGUGAACCUUUACUAUAGCUUGACACUGAACAUUGAGCCUUGAUGUGUAGGAUAGGUGGGAGGCUUUGAAGUGUGGACGCCAGUCUGCAUGGAGCCGACCUUGAAAUACCACCCUUUAAUGUUUGAUGUUCUAACGUGGACCCGUGAUCCGGGUUGCGGACAGUGUCUGGUGGGUAGUUUGACUGGGGCGGUCUCCUCCUAAAGAGUAACGGAGGAGCACGAAGGUUGGCUAAUCCUGGUCGGACAUCAGGAGGUUAGUGCAAUGGCAUAAGCCAGCUUGACUGCGAGCGUGACGGCGCGAGCAGGUGCGAAAGCAGGUCAUAGUGAUCCGGUGGUUCUGAAUGGAAGGGCCAUCGCUCAACGGAUAAAAGGUACUCCGGGGAUAACAGGCUGAUACCGCCCAAGAGUUCAUAUCGACGGCGGUGUUUGGCACCUCGAUGUCGGCUCAUCACAUCCUGGGGCUGAAGUAGGUCCCAAGGGUAUGGCUGUUCGCCAUUUAAAGUGGUACGCGAGCUGGGUUUAGAACGUCGUGAGACAGUUCGGUCCCUAUCUGCCGUGGGCGCUGGAGAACUGAGGGGGGCUGCUCCUAGUACGAGAGGACCGGAGUGGACGCAUCACUGGUGUUCGGGUUGUCAUGCCAAUGGCACUGCCCGGUAGCUAAAUGCGGAAGAGAUAAGUGCUGAAAGCAUCUAAGCACGAAACUUGCCCCGAGAUGAGUUCUCCCUGACCCUUUAAGGGUCCUGAAGGAACGUUGAAGACGACGACGUUGAUAGGCCGGGUGUGUAAGCGCAGCGAUGCGUUGAGCUAACCGGUACUAAUGAACCGUGAGGCUUAACCUUACAACGCCGAAGGUGUUU
rnacentral:rRNA from 1 species